GGGUCAGUACGUUGGUCGUGCCACCGGUACGUACUGGUCUCACUGAUUCCUCCUUCCUGAGGAACCGUAAUGCCAUUAAUUUGGUGUUGCGGGGAAACAGGACUGUUACUUUGAAAAAAUUAGAGUGUUUAACGCAAGCUAACGCUUGAAUACAUUAGCAUGGAAUAAUGAAAUAGGACGAUCGAUCCUAUUUUGUUGGUUUCUAGGAUUGACGUA
rnacentral:rRNA from 1 species